CGAACAAAUUGAAGUUGUAGAAACGUUAGGAACAUUAACCAUGAUUGACAGUGAUAAUAUAAUCACUUUGACUAGAAAUGUAUUACAGGGUGGUUAUUACAUAGUAAGAACAUCGAAACUCUCAACUUAAUUAAAUCAGUUUACACUCUGUGAUGUGUGAAACAAGCACAGAAAGGAUAGUUGAUUUUUCUGACGAGAAGACAGCUGUAAAUCAAUCUAACACGUUUUCCUUUCUGUCCCAGUGCACUGCCCCUACUGGACUCUGACGAGUUAAGACGAGGUGUUAUUCCUGGCGUGAACAGCAGGAGACCACGACAAUCAAUUUUGAGAUGUCUAAAAUGGAAUAGACUGAGGGAGACGAUGUGCACUGCAGACAGACAACCCUAUGGCUGUACAUGAAGGAUGUUAUCCCGUCCUUGUAAGCUUUGUAAACAGCGGUUGUAAAUACGAUGGGAUAAACUAUGACGUAAUGAGCUGACUACUUUUAUUUUAUUUUAGAAUGCCUGCUUAUUUAUAUUUUUGUGGAUAUCUGGUUUAUUUUUUUAGGUUCUUUACUACAAAUGGUAUCAUGCCUUUCACUGUUUACAUAGCUAAAGUGCAGAAUGUGAUUAAAUGUGUUUUUUUGUCCA